rnacentral:sRNA from 1 species
UAUUCUGCCCCACGGGGAAGGAUGAGAAGCUUCGACUAAGGUUCGACUCGAGCGAAGCGAGAGAACGUUGCCGCAGGCAACGGCCCAAAGGGCGAGGCGCUUUAGCGCCGAGUAAUCCUUCCCCCACCACUG